rnacentral:snRNA from 1 species
UCAUGUGAGGACACUCUGGCCGUAACAGCUUGUCGCCCUGUGGGUCACUAGGGUUGGUAUGGCUGAUUUGACUGGCUAAGCGGGUGCCCCCUCCUCCCUUACCACUGCCUGUGAGCUCUUCCCUAAACUGUACACUCAGGUGACUUUCCCUGACAGAGGAACACUAUUUUCAGCUGAGGC